UCAAAUAACAAGCAUCACGCAGAGCUAAAACAUAAAACUUUUAUCAUAAGACAUAAUUUACCAAAAUACAGGGAAUUGAUCAUGGAUUAAGUGGAGUGAAGAGGGAGAGGGUGCCUCAAAUAGAGUGACGUCAAUAUCGAUAAACGCAAAACGCACCCCGGAGCGCUAUUGUACGGAUCUUUCUCUCCGUUGAUACCGGGAUGGAGCGCGGCUGGACCCAAACUGCCUCCCUGCUGGACUGGUUUGAGUGCGCAAAGCGCAGCAGAGGUUAGAGUAGCAGAUAAAAAGGGGAAUGAGGGUGCAGCAUGCGGUUUUGGAAAAACCAGUGUAUUUACACGCUUCAUCUCGUCUCCAAGUCCUCAUUAGGUUGUUAACCUCUUGUUCAGAUGAAAAGCGCCGCGCCGCGCAGGACCCUUGAGCUGAGCGCAGGCAUUCCCCUGAAGGCACAGGACAAAGCGCUUAAAAUAACUGCGUUAAAAUAAGCUUUUAUUGGGCUACUAAUGUAUAUUUAAUGUUACUUUAGGCUAUUUGUUUAUUUGCCUAAAAUAAUUAAUCAUAUUGCACUAUUUGCGUAUUUAUCAGCUAGAGACGGUUUCAGCACCAUAUGUGUUUUACACUCUAAAAAUGCGAGAUUAUUUCAUCCUAUGAUUGGAUAAAAUAUGUGCAAACCCAAUAACUGGAUUGAAAUAAACCUAUGCCGGGUUGUGUAUGGUUGGGUCAAAAAUUGUCAUUUUUAAGUUAAUUUAAACCAACGACGAGUGUCCAUAUUUUUCCAUCAAUUGAACAAUCCUAUUUUUUUCGUAUAGGCCUACAUACUGGAUGGUGAGUAUUACAAAGGUUUCUUAAAACAUAAAACAAGUUUUAUUCUGUUUUAGUGUGGUAGGAUGAAAUAUAUCAUAAAAAUGAUGAUGUUAUUACAAAAAAGUUCACUUUAUGAUAAUAAAAUAAUAGACUUAAGUAAAAUUAUUUUAAAUAGCACAUGUGCUAGUAGUUUUUACUGCUCACAUGAAAAAGUACUACAUUAUACUAUAGUAUAUACUAUAGUAUACUGUACUAUAGGCUACAGUAUGGUUUAAUUAAACAGUAUUUAGUUUUAAAAAAGUAUAGGAAUUCUAUUAAAAUUUUGUAUUUUGACUUCAUUAACGCACGCGCACCUUUUACAUCAAGCUAAUGACAGAUGAAAUGAUCUCUCUCUCUCUCUCUGCUGUGUGUGUGUGUGUGUGUGUGUGU